rnacentral:rRNA from 1 species
GAUGAACGCUGGCGGCGUGCCUAAUACAUGCAAGUCGAGCGAACAGACGAGGAGCUUGCUCCUCUGACGUUAGCGGCGGACGGGUGAGUAACACGUGUAUAACCUACCUAUAAGACUGGGAUAACUUCGGGAAACCGGAGCUAAUACCGGAUAAUAUAUUGAACCGCAUGGUUCAAUAGUGAAAGACGGUUUUGCUGUCACUUAUAGAUGGAUCCGCGCCGCAUUAGCUAGUUGGUAAGGUAACGGCUUACCAAGGCAACGAUGCGUAGCCGACCUGAGAGGGGGAUCGGCCACACUGGAACUGAGCACCGUCCCAGACUCCUACGGGAGGCAGAAGUAGGGAAUCUUCCGAAAUGGGCGAAAGCCUGACGGAGCAACGCCGCGUGAGUGAUGAAGGUCUUCGGAUCGUAAAACUCUGUUAUUAGGGAAGAACAAAUGUGUAAGUAACUAUGCACGUCUUGACGGUACCUAAGCAGAAAGCCCCGGCUAACUACGG